rnacentral:rRNA from 1 species
CUUCUCUGAUGUUAGCGGCGGACGGGUGAGUAACACGUGGAUAACCUACCUAUAAGACUGGGAUAACUUCGGGAAACCGGAGCUAAUACCGGAUAAUAUUUUGAACCGCAUGGUUCAAAAGUGAAAGACGGUCUUGCUGUCACUUAUAGAUGGAUCCGCGCUGCAUUAGCUAGUUGGUAAGGUAACGGCUUGCCAAGGCAACGAUGCAUAGCCGACCUGAGAGGGUGAUCGGCCACACUGGAACUGAGACACGGUCCAGACUCCUACGGGAGGCAGCAGUAGGGAAUCUUCCGCAAUGGGCGAAAGCCUGACGGAGCAACGCCGCGUGAGUGAUGAAGGUCUUCGGAUCGUAAAACUCUGUUAUUAGGGAAGAACAUAUGUGUAAGUAACUGUGCACAUCUUGACGGUACCUAAUCAGAAAGCCACGGCUAACUACGUGCCAGCAGCCGCGGUAAUACGUAGGUGGCAAGCGUUAUCCGGAAUUAUUGGGCGUAAAGCGCGCGUAGGCGGUUUUUUAAGUCUGAUGUGAAAGCCCACGGCUCAACCGUGGAGGGUCAUUGGAAACUGGAAAACUUGAGUGCAGAAGAGGAAAGUGGAAUUCCAUGUGUAGCGGUGAAAUGCGCAGAGAUAUGGAGGAACACCAGUGGCGAAGGCGACUUUCUGGUCUGUAACUGACGCUGAUGUGCGAAAGCGUGGGGAUCAAACAGGAU